UUAAAACAAUAUUUUUGGCAUUAGAGUUG
rnacentral:piRNA from 1 species